GAUGAACGCUGGCGGCGUGCCUAAUACAUGCAGGUCGAGCGAUGAAGCCGGAGCUUGCUCUGGUGAAUUAGUGGCGAACGGGUGAGUAACACGUGAGUAACCUGCCCUUGACUCUGGGAUAACUGCUAGAAAUGGUAGCUAAUACCGGAUACGACCCUCGGAGGCAUCUCCAGGGGGUGGAAAGAAUUUCGGUCAAGGAUGGACUCGCGGCCUAUCAGCUAGUUGGUGAGGUAACGGCUCACCAAGGCGACGACGGGUAGCCGGCCUGAGGGGGUGACCGGCCACACUGGGACUGAGACACGGCCCAGACUCCUACGGGAGGCAGCAGUGGGGAAUAUUGCACAAUGGGCGCAAGCCUGAUGCAGCAACGCCGCGUGAGGGAUGACGGCCUUCGGGUUGUAAACCUCUUUUAGCAGGGAAGAAGCGAAAGUGACGGUACCUGCAGAAAAGGCACCGGCUAACUACGUGCCAGCAGCCGCAGUAA
rnacentral:rRNA from 1 species